rnacentral:rRNA from 1 species
GACGAACGCUGGCGGCGUGCCUAAUACAUGCAAGUAGAACGCACAGUUUAUACCGUAGCUUGCUACACCAUAGACUGUGAGUUGCGAACGGGUGAGUAACGCGUAGGUAACCUGCCUGGUAGCGGGGGAUAACUAUUGGAAACGAUAGCUAAUACCGCAUAAUAUUAAUUAUUGCAUGAUAAUUAAUUGAAAGGUGCAAUUGCACCACUACCAGAUGGACCUGCGUUGUAUUAGCUAGUAGGUGAGGUAACGGCUCACCUAGGCGACGAUACAUAGCCGACCUGAGAGGGUGAUCGGCCACACUGGGACUGAGACACGGCCCAGACCCCUACGGGAGGCAGCAGUAGGGAAUCUUCGGCAAUGGACGAAAGUCUGACCGAGCAACGCCGCGUGAGUGAAGAAGGUUUUCGGAUCGUAAAGCUCUGUUGUAAGAGAAGAACGGGUGUGAGAGUGGAAAGUUCACACUGUGACGGUAUCUUACCAGAAAGGGACGGCUAACUACGUG